UACGGGGGGGGCAAGCGUUGUUCGGAAUUACUGGGCGUAAAGGGCUCGUAGGCGGCCAACUAAGUCGGAUGUGAAAUCCCCAGGCUUAACCUGGGAACUGCGUCUGAUACUGGACGGCUUGAGUAUGGGAGAGGAAUGUAGAAUUCCAGGUGUAGCGGUGAAAUGCGUAGAUAUCGGGAGGAACACCCGUGGCGAAGGCGGCUCACUGGUCCGGUACUGACGCUGAGGUGCGAAAGCGUGGGGAGCGAACAGG
rnacentral:rRNA from 1 species